AACGAACGCUGGCGGCAGGCCUAACACAUGCAAGUCGAACGCUCCAGCAAUGGAGAGUGGCAGACGGGUGAGUAACGCGUGGGAACCUACCCUUUGGUUCGGAAUAGCUCAGGGAAACUUGAGGUAAUACCGGAUAAGCCCUUCGGGGGAAAGAUUUAUCGCCAAUGGAUGGGCCCGCGUCGGAUUAGCUAGUUGGUAGGGUAACGGCCUACCAAGGCGACGAUCCGUAGCUGGUCUGAGAGGAUGAUCAGCCACACUGGAACUGAGACACGGUCCAGACUCCUACGGGAGGCAGCAGUGGGGAAUAUUGGACAAUGGGCGCAAGCCUGAUCCAGCCAUGCCGCGUGUGUGAAGAAGGCCUUCGGGUUGUAAAGCACUUUCAGCGAGGAGGAAGGGGUGUGUGUUAAUAGUACACACCUUGACGUUACUCGCAGAAGAAGCACCGGCUAACUCUGUGCCAGCCGCCGCCGUAAGAC
rnacentral:rRNA from 1 species